AGAUGUGACGUGUUCUGACUGAAGCCUCUGUUACUCCACUGAUGGCUGACUGAAUGGUGUCCCCGUCCUCCCUCACUGUUCCAUGUGUGUCCUUCCAGCAUCUUCGCACUCAGUGGACGAGGACACUCUUCUGCAGGGGUGUGAGACCUUUCUUGGGCCAAGGGUUACACCUGUAGCUGCUUAAUCCAGCUAGAAUCCCUAACCAACUCUCACAUAGCAGGCUAAUGUGUAAUUGAUAAGGAAUUUCGGCAUUUCCACUCAUCUAAUUAGGCGCCCAUUUUG
rnacentral:snRNA from 1 species